AUGGGCGGGCUGCGCGCUCGGGAUCUCCACAAAUCCCUUCAAUGGCCCUGUCCUGAAGGGAUUUGUGGAGAUCCUGAGCGCGCAGCCCGCCCAUUAGCCCG